CAGGUGCCCAAAUUACCCACUUCCAGCAUGGGGGGGUACUGACUAAAAAUAAGCAGCGAUCGAAAUGAGUACACUUCAAAUUCGUUAACGAGGACCAACUGGAGGGUAAGUCUGGUGUCAGCAGCCGCGGUGAUUCCAGCUUCGAUAGCGUAUAUUAAAGUUGUUGCGGUUAACAUUUUGAAGUCCGAACUCGGGUUGGUGAUCGUGACCCCAGGGCGGCGGCGCCAUCGUCCGUCAUUGACUUUCGGCAUCCGUGCACAUUCCAGGUACUUUCUGUAUCAAGCGCUUGCAAAUCCACCAUGCGGUCUUGCCGGCGAAGUUAACCGGGGGAGUAGUAGGUUGUCGCAGCGGUGCGGGAGUUCAACGAGGGGCGGUGGCGGGUUUUAUACGGUAAAAAGAUGGUCCGUUACAUUUUGCGGCGCAGGGUCAGUCGGCGUCGGCCAGCGACAUUCACUCGUCGUCUGCGUCACCGUCGUCAUUUAAAGGGGUUCGUGUUGUCGUCGCUCCGUCUCGCCGUCUUUUCUCGUCGCCGACUCCUCUUCCCUUUCCUCCUGCCAUUUCAUGCAACCUUACUCUACCUACCUACACUUCCACCUUCGCAUCCGUUUAUCACGCGUGCACAGUCGGCUGUUUCUCCUCCAAGGGUGCUCUUGACCGAUUGUCCGCAGCGGCCGGUACGUUAACUUUGAAAAAAUUAGUGCCCAAAGCGGGCUUUUACAGCUUGCAUACGAUAAGUAUCGAAUGGGGAAAGAUGGCCUCGUUUACUUCUAUCGGUCUCCGUCAAUGAUCUAAGGGAGCGGUCGAAGCCACUUGUAUUGCGACGUUAGAGGUGAACGUUUUGGAUCGCUGUAAGCCGAACUGUAGCGAUGGCGUGUGACAAGCGCGUUUUCGUCGAGCAAGAGCGAAAGUCGGAUGUUCCAAGGCGAUCAGAUACUGCUUAGUCCCGACAGUAAACGAUUCCGUGACCAGGUAUUGAA